rnacentral:rRNA from 1 species
UACGAAGGUCCCAAGCGUUGUUCGGAAUCACUGGGCGUAAAGGGAGCGUAGGCGGCGUGGUAAGUCAGAUGUGGAAAUCCCGGGGCUCAACCCCGGAACUGCAUCCGAUACUGCCAUGCUAGAGGAUUGGAGAGGUAGCUGGAAUUCUUGGUGUAGCAGUGAAAUGCGUAGAGAUCAAGAGGAACACUCGUGGCGAAAGCGAGCUACUGGACAAUUCCUGACGCUGAGGCUCGAAGGCUAGGUAGCGAAAGGG